GCCUGGGUAGCUUAUUUGGUUAAGCAUCUGACUUUAGCUCAGGUCAUGUACUCACGGUUCGUGGGCUCAAAUCCCGCUUCGGAGCC
rnacentral:tRNA from 1 species